AUACGGAGGAUCCGAGCGUUAUCCGGAUUUAUUGGGCGUAAAGGGUGCGUAGGCGGUAAAUUAAGUCUAAGGUUAAAGUGCAGGGCUCAACCCUGUGAUGCCUUAGAAACUGGUUUACUUGAGUUUGGUAGAGGUAAGUGGAACUCCAUGUGUAGCGGUAAAAUGCGUAAAUAUAUGGAAGAACACCAGUGGCGAAGGCGGCUUACUGGGCCACAACUGACGCUGAGGCACGAAAGCGUGGGGAGCAAACAGGAUUAGAUACCCUGGUAGUCCACGCUGUAAACGAUGAAUACUAAGUGUUGGAAAAAUCCAGUGCUGAAGUUAACGCAUUAAGUAUUCCGCCUGAGUAGUACGUACGCAAGUAUGAAACUUAAAGGAAUUGACGGGG
rnacentral:rRNA from 1 species